CUUGCCAAUUGUGCUUUUGCUAAUGGUAUCGUUUUAUACUCUAUGGCAGUGUAGUUAACUUUAUUAUGAAUAGGAGUCAGUUAUCAAGGGAAAAAGACAUGGUUUACUGUCUUGCUCCUAGCUCACAAUGCAUCUGCACACCAAGCUGCAGAUAGUCACUUUUUGGUGCAAAUAUGAUUAUGAAAUCUUGCCCCAACUUCAUACUCUCCUGACUUGGUACCUUCAGAAUUUACCUGUUUCAAAAUACGAGAAAUUUACAGAAAAGAAGUUUCUUCAAUGAUGAGGAGGUUAUUACUGCUGAGGAGAGCUGGUUUGCCUACAAAUCUGCUGACCUCUACAACUGGGAUUAAACAACUGUGUGAGAAGUGUAGGGUCCUAAGAGAUGGAUAUACUAGAGAAGGGAGAAUUGGAGGACCAAAUUUUAGAUUCCUAGUACAUCUGCAUUAUGAUGAGGGUAAGAACUUUUUGGCCACCCCUUGUACAAUAUCUCUAAUAGCACGCAAUGAUGUAGAACUAAUCUUGUGCUAAUCCUAUCAAAAUUUAACUUGCAUAACUUUAUUUAAUAUUAUUUUUAAGAUAAGAUAGCAAAUUAGGGAUAAACUAUACAUAAAAAAUAAAGUUAUAACAACAUUUUAAUAUGAAAACUAAAUUUCAAUAGCUUGAUGAAAAUAUAUAACACAG
rnacentral:lncRNA from 1 species